rnacentral:rRNA from 1 species
CCUGGCUCAGGAUGAACGCUAGCUACAGGCUUAACACAUGCAAGUCGAGGGGCAGCAUGGUCUUAGCUUGCUAAGGCCGAUGGCGACCGGCGCACGGGUGAGUAACACGUAUCCGACCUGCCGUCUACUCUUGGACAGCCUUCUGAAAGGAAGAUUAAUACAAGAUGGCAUCAUGAGUCCGCAUGUUCACAUGAUUAAAGGUAUUCCGGUAGACGAUGGGGAUGCGUUCCAUUAGAUAGUAGGCGGGGUAACGGCCCACCUAGUCUUCGAUGGAUAGGGGUUCUGAGAGGAAGGUCCCCCACAUUGGAACUGAGACACGGUCCAAACUCCUACGGGAGGCAGCAGUGAGGAAUAUUGGUCAAUGGGCGAGAGCCUGAACCAGCCAAGUAGCGUGAAGGAUGACUGCCCUAUGGGUUGUAAACUUCUUUUAUAAAGGAAUAAAGUCGGGUAUGGAUACCCGUUUGCAUGUACUUUAUGAAUAAGGAUCGGCUAACUCCGUGCCAGCAGCCGCGGUAAUACGGAGGAUCCGAGCGUUAUCCGGAUUUAUUGGGUUUAAAGGGAGCGUAGAUGGAUGUUUAAGUCAGUUGUGAAAGUUUGCGGCUCAACCGUAAAAUUGCAGUUGAUACUGGAUAUCUUGAGUGCAGUUGAGGCAGGCGGAAUUCGUUGUGUAGCGGUGAAAUGCUUAGAUAUCACGAAGAACUCCGAUUGCGAAGGCAACCUGCUAAGCUGCAACUGACAUUGAGGCUCGAAAGUGUGGGUAUCAAACAGGAUUAGAUACCCUGGUAGUCCACACGGUAAACGAUGAAUACUCGCUGUUUGCGAUAUACAGCAAGCGGCCAAGCGAAAGCGUUAAGUAUUCCACCUGGGGAGUACGCCGGCAACGGUGAAACUCAAAGGAAUUGACGGGGGCCCGCACAAGCGGAGGAACAUGUGGUUUAAUUCGAUGAUACGCGAGGAACCUUACCCGGGCUUAAAUUGCAGAUGAAUUACGGUGAAAGCCGUAAGCCGCAAGGCAUCUGUGAAGGUGCUGCAUGGUUGUCGUCAGCUCGUGCCGUGAGGUGUCGGCUUAAGUGCCAUAACGAGCGCAACCCUUGUUGUCAGUUACUAACAGGUUCCGCUGAGGACUCUGACAAGACUGCCAUCGUAAGAUGUGAGGAAGGUGGGGAUGACGUCAAAUCAGCACGGCCCUUACGUCCGGGGCUACACACGUGUUACAAUGGGGGGUACAGAGGGCCGCUACCACGCGAGUGGAUGCCAAUCCCCAAAACCUCUCUCAGUUCGGACUGGAGUCUGCAACCCGACUCCACGAAGCUGGAUUCGCUAGUAAUCGCGCAUCAGCCACGGCGCGGUGAAUACGUUCCCGGGCCUUGUACACAC